AUUGAACGCUGGCGGCAGGCCUAACACAUGCAAGUCGAGCGGUUGAGGUAGCUUGCUACCGAUGCAGCGGCGAACGGGUGAGUAAUACAUGGGAAUCUGCCUGGUAGUGGGGGACAACGUUUCGAAAGGAACGCUAAUACCGCAUACGCCCUACGGGGGAAAGGGGGGGAUCGCAAGACCUCUCGCUAUCAGAUGAGCCCAUGUCAGAUUAGCUAGUUGGUGAGGUAAAGGCUCACCAAGGCGACGAUCUGUAACUGGUCUGAGAGGAUGAUCAAUCACACUGUAACUGAGACACGGUCCAGGCUCCUACGGGAGGCAGCAGUGGGGAAUAUUGGACAAUGGGGGCAACCCUGAUCCAGCCAUGCCGCGUGUGUGAAGAAGGCCUUAGGGUUGUAAAGCACUUUCAGUGGGGAGAAAGGUGAUUCACCUAAUACGUGAGUCAAUUGAUGCUACCCACAGAAGAAGCACCGGCUAACUCCGUGCCAGCCGCCGCGGUAA
rnacentral:rRNA from 1 species